rnacentral:lncRNA from 1 species
GCCGGACUGGCGCUGGGUUUUGCAGUGCAGUGAUUGCGGAUCUCAGUCCUCCGUGCCGGAGCUCUUUGUGCUCCCCUGGAGCAAAGCGGGGCCCGGGGGUGGGCAUGGGGCUGAGGCCGGGAUAGGGAAGGGAGCGGUGAGGUGGGGGCUGCCCGGUACCGCUCACCUGCUGGGAUAGCCCCGUUCGGGCCGGGCUCGGUCUGUCCUGGUGCUGUGAGCUCCGUGUCCCGUGUGGAGCUGAGAUCUCCGGGAGCAGGGGCACGGCAGAGGGCUCCGUGGGAGCUGCCCGGGAUGCUGUGUGCCCGUGGGCUCCUGGCACGGUGGGAUGUGGGGCAGCCCGGGCCCUUCCUGCUGUUCCAUCAGCAGCGCCCAUCAUCCCUGCAGAGAUUGGGGUCUUUGGGGUGGUCCCGUGUUUGUGGUACCCACGUGUUCCUGGGAUAUCGGGUGCCCUGGGAAUGCUUCACAGCUGGCAGUGUUGGAGGAAAGCUGUCCUGUCCUGGGGGAUUCCCUGCUGGGAAGGGUUACCCCAGGAAGGGGCACUGCUGGUGCUCACUCCUCUGCCAGGAUCGCUUUGGCUGUUUGGGUGAUGCGAUGCGGUGUCUUGUUUGGAUCUGAUCGCAGACAAUGGGGCUGGAGGGGACAUGGGGGAAGGUGAGAGCUCAUCUCCAGGCAUCGAGCACGGCUGAAGCAGCUCCAGGUCUUCGGUCCGAGCACAUCUGAGAUCUCAGCUCUGUUCCUGAGGGCCGGUGUGGCCAGUGGAUGCUUUAUGGCUUUAUUGUGUGGCCGGGAUGUUGGGCAGGGCCCUGGAGCAGUGAGGGCACGGCUCUCCUCACCUGGCUGCCCCACAUGGAGCCAUCAGAGGGUGACAGGACGGGGCUGGAGUCACUGCGAGGCCAAACCACAGCUCUGCCACCCCCAGCCCUGCGCUGCCUUUACAGCUUGGAGCCAUGGACACCGCCGUCUGCCCGUCGCAGCCCUGCAGGAUUUAGCAUCGGGCACCUGGAAUGGAUUAAACAGAGCUAGAACACAUCUCCGAGUGCAGUUGUUUACCCAGCGAGCGUUGCUUUGGGGUAGGAACUGUCCUUUGUGACAUUGCUGUGGUGCAUCAGAGCUUCCCGCGAUGCUCUUGGAGAAUCGACACCCCAAAACUACAGCGUGGGACAGCACUCAGUCCGCCCGAGCACCGCGUGGACAUGUGGGAGUGAUGUGACCAUGUGGCUGUCGCUCCGUGGGUACACACACAGCAAAGAGCAGCAUGAGGUGAUGCCCUGGGAGCUGCAUGCCCUGCGCUGGGCUGAGCACCACGAUGCUGUCCCAUUCGGAGCACUGCAGCAGCAAGCAGAGCGCUUUGCAGGGCAGG